rnacentral:rRNA from 1 species
GAUGAACGCUGGCGGCGUGCCUAAUACAUGCAAGUCGAGCGGCAGCACGGUCUUCGGACUGGUGGCGAGCGGCGGACGGCCGAGUAACGCGUAGGAACAUGCCCCAAAGUGAGGAAUAACUGCCCGAAAGGGUGGCUAAUGCCGCAUGUGGUCUUCGGACUAAAGCUUUAUGCGCUUUGGGAGUGGCCUGCGUCCGAUUAGCUUGUUGGUGAGGUAAUGGCUCACCAAGGCGACGAUCGGUAGCUGGUCUGAGAGGAUGAUCAGCCAGACUGGAACUGAGAACGGUCCAGACUCCUACGGGAGGCAGCAGUAGGGAAUUUUCCACAAUGGGCGAGAGCCUGAUGGAGCAACGCCGCGUGCAGGAUGAAUGCCUUCGGGUUGUAAACUGCUUUUAUGUGCGAAGAAUUUGACUGUAACACAUGAAUAAGGAUCGGCUAACUACGUGCCAGCAGCCGCGGUAAUAC